GAUGAACGCUGGCGGCGUGCUUAACACAUGCAAGUCGAACGGAAAGGCUCCUGCUUGCAGGGGUACUCGAGUGGCGAACGGGUGAGUAACACGUGGGUGAUCUGCCCUGCACUUCGGGAUAAGCCUGGGAAACUGGGUCUAAUACCGGAUAGGACGAUGGUUUGGAUGCCAUUGUGGAAAGUUUUUCGGUGUGGGAUGAGCUCGCGGCCUAUCAGCUUGUUGGUGGGGUAAUGGCCUACCAAGGCGUCGACGGGUAGCCGGCCUGAGAGGGUGUACGGACACAUUGGGACUGAGAUACGGCCCAGACUCCUACGGGAGGCAGCAGUGGAGAAUAUUGCACAAUGGGCGCAAGCCUGAUGCAGCGACGCCGCGUGGGGGAUGACGGCCUUCGGGUUGUAAACUCCUUUCGCUAGGGACGAAGCGCAAGUGACGGUACCUGGAGAAGAAGCACCGGCUAACUACGUG
rnacentral:rRNA from 1 species